UGUGUGUGUGUGUGUGUGUGCUGACACCUACUUUGCAUCAAUGUGGAACUGUACAGUCCAGCACAGCUCCACUGCUCUUGAAACUUCCCCUUUUCACAGUGCUCCCAAGCUGUGGUCAGGAGCUCAAACCUGGAUCCUUACAGAUGGUACAACAUGCUUUAACAGGUGAGGAGAGAGGGACCAGAGAUAGAAGGUAACCUUCCCCAGGUCUUAUGAUGACAGAGUCUGGAGUCAAACCCAGGAAAGCUGACUUCAAAGUUUCAGAUGCUAGCAUGAUGCCAACCAGACUUCCGUGGACAGACGACCCCACCAAUGUGUCCUGGAACUCCGCUUCCCCAGAGCCCCACCCUACUAGGUAAAGAGAGAGGCAGGCUGGGAGUAUGGAUUGACCUGUCAACGCCCAUAUUCAUCAGGGAAGCAAUUACAGAAGCCAGACCUUCCACCUUCUGUAUCCCACAAUGACCUUGGGUCCAUACUCACAGAGGGAUAAAAAAUAGGAAAGCUAUCAGGGGAGGGGAUGGGAUAUGGAGAUCUGGUGGUGGGAGUUGUGUGGAGUUGUACCCCUCUUAUCCUAUGGUUUUGUUAAUGUCUCCUUUUUUAAA